rnacentral:rRNA from 1 species
UACGGAGGGUGCGAGCGUUGUCCGGAAUUACUGGGCGUAAAGAGCUCGUAGGUGGUUUGUCGCGUUGUUCGUGAAAACCGGGGGCUUAACCCUCGGCGUGCGGGCGAUACGGGCAGACUGGAGUACUGCAGGGGAGACUGGAAUUCCUGGUGUAGCGGUGGAAUGCGCAGAUAUCAGGAGGAACACCGGUGGCGAAGGCGGGUCUCUGGGCAGUAACUGACGCUGAGGAGCGAAAGCGUGGGGAGCGAACAGG